ACGGGAGGCAGCAGUGGGGAAUAUUGGACAAUGGGGGAAACCCUGAUCCAGCGACGCCGCGUGAGUGAAGAAGUAUUUCGGUAUGUAAAGCUCUAUCAGCAAGGAAGAAAAUGACGGUACUUGACUAAGAAGCUCCGGCUAAAUACGUGCCAGCGGCCGCGGUAGUACGUAUGGAGCAAGCGUUAUCCGGAUUUACUGGGUGUAAAGGGAGCGUAGACGGCAAAGCAAGUCUGAAGUGAAAUCCCGGGGCUCAACCCCGGAACUGCUUUGGAAACUGUUUAGCUAGAGUGCAGGAGAGGUAAGCGGAAUUCCUAGUGUAGCGGUGAAAUGCGUAGAUAUUAGGAAGAACACCAGUGGCGAAGGCGGAUUACUGGACAGUAACUGACGGUGAGGCGCGAAAGCGUGGGGAGCAAACAGGAUUAGAUACCCUGGUA
rnacentral:rRNA from 1 species